rnacentral:rRNA from 1 species
GAUGAACGCUGGCGGCGUGCCUAAUACAUGCAAGUCGAGCGAACGGACGAGAAGCUUGCUUUUCUGAUGUUAGCGGCGGACGGGUGAGUAACACGUGGAUAACCUACCUAUAAGACUGGGAUAACUUCGGGAAACCGGAGCUAAUACCGGAUAAUAUUUUGAACCGCAUGGUUCAAAAGUGAAAGACGGUCUUGCUGUCACUUAUAGAUGGAUCCGCGCUGCAUUAGCUAGUUGGUAAGGUAACGGCUUACCAAGGCAACGAUGCAUAGCCGACCUGAGAGGGUGAUCGGCCACACUGGAACUGAGACACGGUCCAGACUCCUACGGGAGGCAGCAGUAGGGAAUGUUCCGCAAUGGGCGAAAGCCUGACGGGGCAACGCCGCGUGAGUGAUGAAGGUCUUCGGAUCGUAAAACUCUGUUAUUAGGGAAGAACAUAUGUGUAAGUAACUGUGCACAUCUUGACGGUACCUAAUCAGAAAGCCACGGCUAACUACGUG